rnacentral:rRNA from 1 species
GCCUACGGGAGGCAGCAGUGGGGAAUUUUGGACAAUGGGGGCAACCCUGAUCCAGCCAUGCCGCGUGAGUGAAGAAGGCCUGGUUGUAAGCUCUUUGGUUCGGAAAGAAAAGGACUUCGUCUAAUAAACGAGGCUCUUGACGGUACCGGCAGAAUAAGCACCGGCUAACUACGUGCCAGCAGCCGCGGUC